rnacentral:rRNA from 1 species
UAUUAAUGUUGUUGCGUUAAAAAGCUCGUAGUCGGAUUUUUGUGUCAUGUCGAACUGUCGGCCGAUUGGUCUGUACGGUUUGACGGGCAUAUUCCUUCCAGAGGCUCUUCUAGGCCUUCAUUGGUUUAGUUGUUGAAUCUGGGUCUUUUACUUUGAAAAAAUUAGAGUGUUCAAAGCAGGCCUAUACUCGAAUAGGUUAGCAUGGAAUAAUAGAAUAGGACUUCGGUCUUAUUUUGUUGGUUUCCAGGACCGAAGUAAUGAUUAACAGGGACAGUUGGGGGCAUUCAUAUUCCAUUGUCAGAGGUGAAAUUCUUGGAUUAACGGAAGAUGAACUUCUGCGAAAGCAUCUGCCAAGGAUGUUUUCAUUGAUCAAGAACGAAAGUUAGGGGAUCGAAGACGAUCAGAUACCGUCGUAGUCUUAACCAUAAACUAUGCCGACUAGGGAUGUGGAGGCGUUAACUUUGUACGACCCUCCAUGCACCUUAUGAGAAAUCAAAGUCUAUGGGUUCCGGGGGGAGUAUGGUCGCAAGGCUGAAACUUAAAGGAAUUG